rnacentral:rRNA from 1 species
AGUGAGCGGCAAAGCUCAAUUUGAAAGCUAGCACCUUCGGUGUUCGCGUUGUAAUUUGAAGAUAGUUUCCUUGAGUAGUCCUUUAUCUAUGUUCCUUGGAACAGGACGUCAUAGAGGGUGAGAACCCCGUAUGAUUUUGGAUACUACUCUUUGUGGGAUUCUAUCGAAGAGUCGAGUUGUUUGG